GAUGAACGCUAGCGGCAGGCUUAAUACAUGCAAGUCGAGGGGCAGCAGGAAUAGCAAUAUUUGCUGGCGACCGGCGCACGGGUGCGUAACACGUAUACAAUCUGCCUUUUACAGGGGGAUAGCCUUUCGAAAGAGAGAUUAAUACCCCCAUAAUAGUUGUUCAGGCAUCUGAAUAAUUUGAAAGCUCCGGCGGUAAAAGAUGAGUAUGCGUCUGAUUAGCUAGUAGGUGAGGUAACGGCUCACCUAGGCCACGAUCAGUAGGGGAUCUGAGAGGACUACCCCCCACACGGGAUACCUGAGACACGGAUCCGACUCCUACGGGAGGCAGCAGUAAGGAAUAUUCGGACAAUGCCCGCAAGGGUGAUCCAGCCCAUGCCGCGUGCACGGAAGACGGCCCUA
rnacentral:rRNA from 1 species